UGGGGCGUAGCCAAGCGGUAAGGCAACGGGUUUUGGUUCCGUCAUCCGAAGGUUCAAGUCCUUCCGCCCCAGCCA
rnacentral:tRNA from 2 species